rnacentral:lncRNA from 1 species
AUGCUCCCGAAACCUCGGUUUUAUGCUGCCAAGAACGAGCCACAGGGUGGAGCUGCAAGUCCAAGUGUGAGACAGGGAGCAGCAGAGAUGAAGCACAGAAGAGAUGGAUGCAUGUGUCGUCUACCGGCGGAGCAAGGAGAACGAGGAGAGAGCGCAUCGACAGAAAGACACCUGCUAUUUUUUAACCCGGCGAAACAUCCCCGCUGCAAACCGUGGCGUCUGCCAGAGGAGCUGCUGGAGCUGCGGCUUCGUUCUCCCCUGGUUUUCUGUCCGCCAGCGUUCCCACGUGUGCACCGAGCAUUCGUUUCCUCUCCCCGCAACGCGCACACGUGUGCGCACACGCACUUCAGAGCGGCGCGUGCCUAACCCUGCCUGAGUUUCUGUGGAAGUCUCUGUUCUUGUGCAAUGUCUGAAGGAAGCCAGUUUGGCAAUAUUAAACCUCAAGCCAAACACACAACUGCGCAAAGAAUCCCCAAAUUAAAAAGAAAAGCUCAACCUGGUUACUCAAGCAUCUGCAUUUUCUAUUGCCUUCUGUCUUCUCCGGGCAUGUUGCUUUUAGACGAAGCCCUCUGGGCAGAGACCAUGUCUUUUGGUGUCUGGUACAUCAGUCACAGAGUUAGUACAUAGUAAUAAGGGAAAAUAGAUUCGUGGUAGGAGUUAAACCAGUCAGUCUGGUACCAUAAUUGGAACAUAAUCUCAUAUUGACAGUAUUUAACACAGGAUGUGCAGGGAACAGAUGGCGGCAUGCCAGGCCUCAAUCUUUUGGCAAAUAUUGGAAAGAUAUUUUCUGAAUGCAGCUUCUGACCCUCAUCUGCAGUGUCAGAAGCUUUCCUGCCCCAGAUGAGCCUCAGUCCACUCAGCAGCCCAGGAAAAACGCCCARCAUAGCCACGUACUUUGGAGUUCGCAGCCACCCUGGCUAGUYCCUCUCUAACAGUAUUUCUAGUGUUAAAUGUCCUGGUGAAUGUUUAGAGAGAGCUUGGAAAAGCAUCUGCCACUCGCUCCUACGCCUCCACGUACACUCACCAGUCUCUGCCCUUGCAAAUGGAGAUCUUGCCCAUGGCGAGAAGGUUGUUCUCUCCCCAAGCCUAAAACGGUGAGUUAAGGCAGGUAAAGCACAUUUAUGUCCGAGCUGCACCUUAUCCCGGGAGCUCUGCAGCGUGAGCGUGGGCACGUCCUCAGCCCUCCAAGGGCAUGGGUACCGUGCUUCCCCUAUCCUGCCACAGGAAGUUUAAAUUGAUUUUCCUCUAUUUUAGCAAUUAAUUUUCAUUAAUCAACUUACUGUACAAUGCUGCACUGUAAUUCACAAGUUUUAUGUAUUAUAUGAAUAAAAGUGCACAUAUAUUUUUAUGUGAUUUUCA